AUGAGAGGAAAAGACAGGGUAAAUAUACAGAGUGAGGGAAUCGAUAACCAGUGGACAUGGGUUUAAGGUGAAGGGGGAAGGAUUUUAUAGGAAUCU